CCUACGGGAGGCAGCAGUAGGGAAUCUUCCACAAUGGGCGAAAGCCUGAUGGAGCAACGCCGCGUGGGUGAAGAAGGUCUUCGGAUCGUAAAACCCUGUUGUUAGAGAAGAAAGUGCGUGAGAGUAACUGUUCACGUUUCGACGGUAUCUAACCAGAAAGCCACGGCUAACUACGUGCCAGCAGCCGCGGUAAUACGUAGGUGGCAAGCGUUAUCCGGAUUUAUUGGGCGUAAAGGGAACGCAGGCGGUCUUUUAAGUAUGAUGUGAAAGCCUUCGGCUUAACCGGAGUAGUGCAUUGGAAACUGGGAGACUUGAGUGCAGAAGAGGAGAGUGGAACUCCAUGUGUAGCGGUGAAAUGCGUAGAUAUAUGGAAGAACACCAGUGGCGAAAGCGGCUCUCUGGGCUGUAACUGACGCUGAGGUUCGAAAGCGUGGGUAGCAAACAGGAUUAGAUACCCGAGUAGUC
rnacentral:rRNA from 1 species